rnacentral:rRNA from 2 species
CGACGAACUCUGGUAUUGAUUGGUGCUUGCAUCAUGAUUUACAUUUGAGUGAGUGGCGAACUGGUGAGUAACACGUGGGAAACCUGCCCAGAAGCGGGGGAUAACACCUGGAAACAGAUGCUAAUACCGCAUAACAACUUGGACCGCAUGGUCCGAGUUUGAAAGAUGGCUUCGGCUAUCACUUUUGGAUGGUCCCGCGGCGUAUUAGCUAGAUGGUGGGGUAACGGCUCACCAUGGCAAUGAUACGUAGCCGACCUGAGAGGGUAAUCGGCCACAUUGGGACUGAGACACGGCCCAAACUCCUACGGGAGGCAGCAGUAGGGAAUCUUCCACAAUGGACGAAAGUCUGAUGGAGCAACGCCGCGUGAGUGAAGAAGGGUUUCGGCUCGUAAAACUCUGUUGUUAAAGAAGAACAUAUCUGAGAGUAACUGUUCAGGUAUUGACGGUAUUUAACCAGAAAGCCACGGCUAACUACGUGCCAGCAGCCGCGGUAAUACGUAGGUGGCAAGCGUUGUCCGGAUUUAUUGGGCGUAAAGCGAGCGCAGGCGGUUUUUUAAGUCUGAUGUGAAAGCCUUCGGCUCAACCGAAGAAGUGCAUCGGAAACUGGGAAACUUGAGUGCAGAAGAGGACAGUGGAACUCCAUGUGUAGCGGUGAAAUGCGUAGAUAUAUGGAAGAACACCAGUGGCGAAGGCGGCUGUCUGGUCUGUAACUGACGCUGAGGCUCGAAAGUAUGGGUAGCAAACAGGAUUAGAUACCCUGGUAGUCCAUACCGUAAACGAUGAAUGCUAAGUGUUGGAGGGUUUCCGCCCUUCAGUGCUGCAGCUAACGCAUUAAGCAUUCCGCCUGGGGAGUACGGCCGCAAGGCUGAAACUCAAAGGAAUUGACGGGGGCCCGCACAAGCGGUGGAGCAUGUGGUUUAAUUCGAAGCUACGCGAAGAACCUUACCAGGUCUUGACAUACUAUGCAAAUCUAAGAGAUUAGACGUUCCCUUCGGGGACAUGGAUACAGGUGGUGCAUGGUUGUCGUCAGCUCGUGUCGUGAGAUGUUGGGUUAAGUCCCGCAACGAGCGCAACCCUUAUUAUCAGUUGCCAGCAUUAAGUUGGGCACUCUGGUGAGACUGCCGGUGACAAACCGGAGGAAGGUGGGGAUGACGUCAAAUCAUCAUGCCCCUUAUGACCUGGGCUACACACGUGCUACAAUGGAUGGUACAACGAGUUGCGAACUCGCGAGAGUAAGCUAAUCUCUUAAAGCCAUUCUCAGUUCGGAUUGUAGGCUGCAACUCGCCUACAUGAAGUCGGAAUCGCUAGUAAUCGCGGAUCAGCAUGCCGCGGUGAAUACGUUCCCGGGCCUUGUACACACCGCCCGUCACACCAUGAGAGUUUGUAACA